GCGAAGCUGAUGCAGCACGCCGCGUGCGGGAAGAAGGCCCUAGGGUUGUAAACCGCUUUCAGCAGGGAAGAAAAUGACGGUACCUGCAGAAGAAGGUGCGGCCAACUACGUGCCAGCAGCCGCGGUGACACGUAGGCACCAAGCGUUGUCCGGAUUUAUUGGGCGUAAAGAGCUCGUAGGCGGUUCAGUUAGUCGGGUGUGAAAACUCUGGGCUCAACCCAGAGACGCCACUCGAUACUGCUGUGACUAGAGUGCGGUAGGGGAGCGGGGAAUUCCUAGUGUAGCGGUGAAAUGCGCAGAUAUUAGGAGGAACACCAGUGGCGAAGGCGCCGCUCUGGGCCGUAACUGACGCUGAGGAGCGAAAGCGUGGGUAGCAAACAGGAUUAGAUACCCUGGUAGUCCACGCCGUAAACGUUGGGCACUAGGUGUGGGUCUCAACCAACGAGAUCCGCGCCGUCGCUAACGCAUUAAGUGCCCCGCCNGGGNANGACCGGA
rnacentral:rRNA from 1 species